CAAACCCAUUUUUCAGCAACAAUCUAGCGCACACAAAAUGGAGGAAGCAUCUAAAACCAUUGCACACCAAAUCAGAGAUUUUGAAAUUCUGUUCUAGAUCGCUUGCUGUUGUUCAAUGGAGUCGGCUCAGGUGCUGCCCAACAACUCUGCUUCGUCUCGGAAGCAAGAGCAUCUGGAAGCUGGCAAGCGUCGAUUUUAGAGAAAAUGGUAGCUAGAAUAGUGGAUCUUCGAUCGGAUACAGUGACGAAGCCGACUGAGUCAAUGAGGGCUGCUAUGGCAAGUGCUGAAGUUGAUGACGAUGUUCUUGGUUAUGAUCCGACGGCUUUACUAUUAGAGACAGAGAUGGCGAAGAUGAUGGGAAAAGAGGCUGCUCUUUUUGUUCCAUCAGAGACUAUGGGUAACCUUAUCGCUGUACUUGUUCAUUGUGAGGUUAGGUGAAGUGAAAUUAUUCUGGGAGAUACUAGUCAUAUCAAUAUUUAUGAGAAUGGUGGUAUUUCGACCAUUGGAGGAGUGCAUUCGAGAAAGCUGAAAAAUAGUGAUGAUGAAACGAUUGACAUUGAUUUGAUUGAGUCUGCGAUUAGAGA